rnacentral:lncRNA from 1 species
CCUAUUCUUACCAGCCUGCUGUCUGCACUUCAUUUUCAUAACAGCUCAGUGGAAUGUGCUCAUGCCUUUGUUUGUCCCUCUUCAGAGAAAGGGAAAUUGCUACACAAAGGAUUGAAUUCUAAUUUCAAGACAACUCCUCAAACAAUUCGCCACAGAACAGACCAUUAGAGUUAUGUGAUAAGAUACCAUGAUCAGAAACAAUUUACAGAAAGAAGAGUCUUGGGUUCCAGAGAGAGUCCAUGAUGUCUGAGAGAGGCUUGGCAACAUGGGCCCAGAAAAGGAAGCUGAGAGAUUACAUCUUCAACUGCAAGCAUGGUACAGAGAGCAAACUGGAAGUGCAUUGAGGCUGUGAACUCUCGGAGACCUCCUAAAACGAUUUCCAUCCUCCAGCAAGGCCAUAAAUACCACAUCCCUCAUCAUGUCGUCAAAUGGGAAUCAAGUGCUUCAAUACAAAAGCCUAUGGAGGACAUUCAUAUUUAAACCACUGUAUUCAACAUGCCCAGAGCCUUCUUUAUUAGCUGCUUUCUAGAACUGCCACACUAUUGUUCACACACACACACACACACACACACACACACACACACACACACACCACAAUGUGUCUAUAUAUAUACAUGAAAGAGAAAACACUGUAAGACGGUUCUGGGGAUGGUGACACCUUCCUUUAAUUCCAGCACUUGGGAGGUAGAGGCAGGCAGCUCUCUGAGUUCAAGACUAUCCUGGUCUAUAUCCAGGACACCCAGGACUAUACAAAAAAAAAAAAAAAAAGAGGGAGUAGGGAGAGGUGAGGAGAGAACACAUUUAAAAGCCUUGAUUAAACAAUUUAGUUUCCUAAGUACAGUUUUCUAGUUUUAAUUAAUAUACAAAAAACAGACUAUCAAAAGUGGGUACAUUUAUAUCUGAUUUUCCAUCAGCACCAUAUAAAUGUUUUCAUCAUGUAUAGCAGGACUGCUUAUUUGAUACCCAAGUAGACACAGCUAAUGAGUGUAGAUAGAUAGAUAGAUAGAUAGAUAGAUAGAUAGAUAGGCAGAUAGAUAGAUAGAUAGAUAGAUAGAUAGAUAGAUAGAUAGAUAGAUAGAUAGAUAGGCAGGCAGGCAGGCAGGCAGGCAGGCAGGCAGGCAGGCAGGCAGGCAGAUAGAUAGAUAGAGAUAGGCAGAUAGAUAGGCAGAUAGAUAGAUAGAUAGAUAGAUAGAUAGAUAGAUAGAUAGAUAGAUAGGCAGAUAGAUAGAUAGAUAGAUAGAUAGAUAGAUAGAUAGAUAGAUAGAUAGAUAGAUAGGCAGGCAGGCAGGCAGGCAGGCAGGCAGGCAGGCAGAUAGAUAGAUAGAGAUAGGCAGAUAGAUAGGCAGAUAGAUAGAUAGAUAGAUAGAUAGAUAGAUAGAUAGAUAGAUAGAUAGAAAGAUAAUAGAUAGAUAGAUAGAUAGAUAGAUAGAUAGAUAGAUAGAUAGAUAGAUAGAUGUUUUUAGGACAUGCUGGUUUCUCUGAUGUAAGCUGUUUAUGAA